rnacentral:lncRNA from 1 species
GGGAAAUCUGGAGGGGAGAUACAUGGGAAUACUUUACUUUUGCAGGUGAAACACACCUCUUGCUGCAGGAGCUGGAACAGUAGUAUAGGGUUAUGGAAGGGGCCAAGUUCUGAGCCUUGCAGAACACCUACUGAAGAACACUGAGAAGCAGAGAGGGAGCUACGGUGAUCCACCUGCUAAAAUCAACCUGACAGGUCACAUUCAGACCACACUAGAGAUGACCCUUUGAUUCCAGCUGUUCUGGAAAGGACACGAGGAUCCGAAAGUCUCGGGACCUUCCGGCUCUUGUUUUGGCUAGUUGGCUCCAGCUCGUCUUUCAUCUGUCUUUUUUUUCAGCUUGACAAGCACAUCAGGCACUUUGGUGGUGGAGCAAUAUCCCACUGGACUACAUUCCUCCCACUGGGUGGACCUUCAGAUGAGCUGUGGUUACUAUUCCAUAGGAAUGGGUCCUUGUGAAGGCAGGGCAUGAUACGGACAUCCUGGAGGUGUACACAAACCGGGGUAUAAAGGUAGGGGAGCAGGAGCUCAAGGCAGUUUGCUGACUCCACUGAGACACCAUCAUGCUGACAGUCAUUUUCUUUGCUCUGCUCCUCGCUGGGAUAGACGACGGGAUAGCUGACUCCACAAAUCCUCCAGAGACUCCUCCUCCAACAUACAAGAUCAUCUAUGACACCUUCGAAGACCUGUAUGGAGGAGAAGAGGACACAGCCCCUGCUAGACUGAGAGACAACACCCUGGCCACUUCCCGCACUGUUACCCUGCUGGACCCCUUCCGCCUUGCUUCCCUUACAAUAAAAUCUGCAUGAGCUCAACCCCGCUGCAUCCACUCUGCUUGACUCCUGUGCUUGGAGUGUGUCACUCUGGGGAAACUUCUAGAAAAGGGGUUGCGAUGUCCAUAGGCUUCUUUGUGUCAGACAAGAGCCGCUGUAAAAAAAUCAAAUAAACUGGGUUCCUGUCAAGGGGUGUGAACA